UUUCAGUAAUAUUUUAUCAUUUUCAUGGCUACUCCAACAUUCAGCCUCACAAAACAAAGACCACGAAAGCAAUGUAAGAUACAUAUUCCUCUUGUUUCUUGUGUUAGUAGUAGUUAGUCGGUAACAACCUCUCUACCUUUGUAAGAUAGGGAUAAAAUAAGAUCUUAUAUAUCAUCUUUAUUUGUAAAAUCAUACCAAGUAUGUUGUUAUUGUUAUUGUAGUUGUUGUUAGUAUUAGUUAGUCUUUGAAUUUCGUUGGCUUUGUAAAAUUCUUGAGAAAUUCUUUCAAUAACUCAUGCAAUAAUAGAAUGGCACACUAGAAAACAUGAAAUUAGCUACGGGAUUUAUGGUAAUCCCAAGUAAUUCAUCACGAAAAAGCUCUUUGCUAAUUGAAUUUUGUUAUUAUUCGUCGUUGAUUCGUAGGUAAAUGUGUUUAGCAUCAUCUUGUUUCCCAAAUUUGUUGUUUCCUAACAUCCUCUUGAUGUGCCAUACGAUGGAUCUAGUACACAGUACUACUGCAUAUCCACUUCAUGACGAUGAGUCUUAAAUUAUAUUUAAUAUAGAACUACAUUUUUUUUCAAAAAAAUCAAAUACGUAUGACAUUUUUGUGUACCCUUUUAAUUUUAAUCUUUUAGAUAGAAUUUCUAGUUUUGCCACUGAUUCAAAAAGCCUUAAUAAUCUUUGAUGUCCUUCGUAACAUUCUUUGUGGUAUAGCAUAUGGUAGUUAAUUUUCUUUAACCAAGAAAAUGUUGUUUUUGUGUGCAGUGUUCAUAGUAGGUGCAAAGAUGACAUGCAAGUUGAUGCUGCUUGUUGUUUUUGGAGUUCUAGUGCAAACUUGCUCCGCAAGGAAGCUUCUUGGUGAUUCAAUAGUGCCCAAUUUACCUAUUAUCAAGGGUGGAGUCGACCAAAUUUUAGGAGGUCUUGGU
rnacentral:lncRNA from 1 species